rnacentral:piRNA from 1 species
UACCCUGCAGUGGGGAAGUUGUCCUGGCAU